AUUCCGGAGAGGGAGCCUGAGAAACGGCUACCACAUCUAAGGAAGGCAGCAGGCGCGUAAAUUACCCACUCCCAGUUCGGGGAGGUAGUGACGAAAAAUAACAAUACAGGACUCAUAUCCGAGGCCCUGUAAUUGGAAUGAGUACACUUUAAAUCCUUUAACAAGGACCAAUUGGAGGGCAAGUCUGGUGCCAGCAGCCGCGGUAAUUCCAGCUCCAAUAGCGUAUAUUAAAGUUGUUGCGGUUAAAACGUUCGUAGUUGAAUUUGUGCUUCAUACGGGUAGUACAACUACAAUUGUGGAUUGUACAUUACCUUAUGUAUGUAAGCGUAUUACCGGUGGAGUUCUAAUAUAUAAUGGUACUUGUAUUGUUAUGUAUACCUCCUAUUUAAACCUGCUUCAGUGCUCUUUACCGAGUGCUGUUGUGGGCCGGUACAAUUACUUUGAACAAAUUAGAGUGCUUAAAGCAGGCUCCAAAUGCCUGAAUAUUUUGUGCAUGGAAUAAUGAAAUAAGACUUCUGAUCUAUCUUCAUUGGUUUUUAGAUCAAGAGGUAAUGAUUAAUAGAAGCAGUUUGGGGGCAUUAGUAUUACGACGCGAGAGGUGAAAUUCUUGGACCGUCGUAAGACUAACUUAAGCGAAAGCAUUUGCCAAAGAUGUUUUCAUUAAUCAAGAACGAAAGUUAGAGGUUCGAAGGCGA
rnacentral:rRNA from 2 species